rnacentral:rRNA from 1 species
UACGGAGGGUGCAAGCGUUGUUCGGAAUCAUUGGGCGUAAAGCGCGUGUAGGCGGCUUGGCAAGUCGGUUGUGAAAGCCCGGGGCCCAACCCCGGAACUGCAUCUGAAACUGCCUGGCUAGAGUCCCGGAGAGGAAGGCAGAAUUCCCGGUGUAGGGGUGAAAUCCGUAGAUAUCGGGAGGAAUACCAGCGGCGAAGGCGGCCCUCUGGACGGUGACUGACGCUGAGACGCGAAAGCGUGGGGAGCAAACAGG